rnacentral:misc_RNA from 1 species
GAAAUGCGAUAAGUAGUGUGAAUUGCAGAAUUCAGUGAAUCAUCGAAUCUUUGAACGCACAUUGCGCCCCUUGGUAUCCCGAGGGGCAUGCCUGUUCGAGCGUCAUUUCACCCCUCAAGCCUGGCUUGGUGUUGGGCGACGUCCUUUUUGAGGACGCGCUUCGAAACGUUCGGCGGCGUGGCACCGGCUUUAAGCGUAGCAGAAUCUUUCGCUUUUAAGGUUGAGGCCCCGUCUGCCGGAAGACCCACUCGCAAGGUUGACCUCGGAUCAGGCAGGGAUACCCGCUGAACUUAA